AAUCAGAGUUUGCUUUGAAAAUGCCUGAUGAGUAAAAGGAUGCUGAGUGCGGUCAAUUUUCCUCUCGCCUUCUCUGCCACUAACUCAGACGUGACUUCUGGCACUGCUUUAAGCAGUUGUAGCAGGAUGGCUGAUCUCUUUGCCCAAAUUCACAUACAAAUCGAGAAAGACAAACACUGGAUCUGA
rnacentral:lncRNA from 1 species